rnacentral:lncRNA from 1 species
CAGUCGAAACACUUUGUUUAUUCAACGCCGAAAGGCCAUUACAAAUGAUUGUUAGACCACUACAUUGUUAAAACCCAAUAAAUAUAAGGACGAGAGAACACAUGUAGGCAUAUGGAAGCUCUAGAGAUGAGACGAAAAUGAUUAAUCUACACAAAGCACUUUCAUCGGAAUUUCGGUCACCUCCGUCACGCCUUUACAGUUCAUCACCAGUAAUCUGUUUGGCCACAUCUGAUUCUAGGCACCACAACCACCAUGCAAAGCUCCACUUGAGGUGAUAAUAGAAAAUCUCCCAAGAAAUGCACUCGAAGGUUGGUGAAAAAGAUAAGCUUUGACCCAAAGAUGGAUCAAAGGAAAGGUGGAUCGAUGGUUCUUCAGUAUAAGGCUGCGGAAGGCCAAAUACUUGUUGGUUGGUCUUAGUCCGUGAGAGGCAGCCCCACUAGUGAACAAGACCGUGCUUACGGAGAUCACUCUCGUAGCA